rnacentral:sRNA from 1 species
GCUGGGCGCAGAGGCGCACACCUGUAAUCCCAGCAGCUCGGGAGGCUGAGGCAGGAGGAUCGCAAGUUCAAAGCCAGCCUCAGCAAUGGUGAGGCACUAAGCAACUCAGUGAGACCCUGUCUCUA